rnacentral:rRNA from 1 species
UAGGGAAUCUUCCACAAUGGACGCAAGUCUGAUGGAGCAACGCCGCGUGAGUGAAGAAGGCUUUCGGGUCGUAAAACUCUGUUAUUGAAGAAGAACGUGUGUGACAGUAACUGGUCAUGCAGUGACGGUAUUCAAUCAGAAAGUCACGGCUAACUACGUGCCAGCAGCCGCGGUAAUACGUAGGUGGCAAGCGUUGUCCGGAUUUAUUGGGCGUAAAGCGAGUGCAGGCGGUCUUUUAAGUCUGAUGUGAAAGCCUUCGGCUUAACCGAAGAAGGGCAUCGGAAACUGGGAGACUUGAGUGCAGAAGAGGAGAGUGGAACUCCAUGUGUAGCGGUGAAAUGCGUAGAUAUAUGGAAGAACACCAGUGGCGAAGGCGGCUCUCUGGUCUGUAACUGACGCUGAGGCUCGAAAGCGUGGGUAGCAAACAGGAUUAGAUACCCUGG